CAGUCGCCACGGGAAUACGAAGGGGGCUAGCGUUGCUCGGAAUUACUGGGCGUAAAGGGCGCGUAGGCGGACAGUUCAGUCGGGGGUGAAAGCCCGGGGCUCAACCUCGGAAUUGCCUUCGAUACUGGCUGUCUUGAGUAUGAGAGAGGUGUGUGGAACUCCGUGUGUAGAGGUGAAAUUCGUAGAUAUUCGGAAGAACACCAGUGGCGAAGGCGACACACUGGCUCAUUACUGACGCUGAGGCGCGAAAGCGUGGGGAGCAAACAGGAUUAGAUACCCGCGUAGUCCCUGUCUCUUAUAC
rnacentral:rRNA from 1 species